rnacentral:rRNA from 1 species
UACGUAGGGGGCAAGCGUUGUCCGGAUUUAUUGGGCGUAAAGAGCGUGUAGGCGGCCAGUUAGGUCCGUUGUGAAAACUCGAGGCUCAACCUCGAGACGCCGAUGGAAACCAUCUGGCUAGAGUCCGGAAGAGGAGAGUGGAAUUCCCGGUGUAGCGGUGAAAUGCGCAGAUAUCGGGAAGAACACCCGUGGCUAAGGCGGCUCUCUAGUACGGUACUGACGCUGAGACGCGAAAGCGUGGGGAGCGAACAGG